GCAAAUAUUCAUUAUAGUUAAUAUGGCUGAUUUAUUUAUCAAAUCUCUACCAACGAUCUCUUGAAGCUAGUGCACAAGAUUGGGAUGCGAAGACUCAAGGAUGUGAAUUGAUGCUCUUUUAGAGGGAGUUAAUGCGCGUUGCACUCUUUAUCACUUACAAGGUUUUGUCCCACUGGGUUUUCCUUGCAAGGUUUUUAACGAGGCAACCAAUAGGCGCAUUUGU
rnacentral:lncRNA from 1 species